GAGUUUGAUCGUGGCUCAGAUUGAACGCUGGCGGUAUGCUUAACACAUGCAAGUCGAACGGUAACAGGAGAGAGCUUGCUCUUUUGCUGACGAGUGGCGGACGGGUGAGUAAUGCGUAGGAAUCUGCCUAGUAGUGGGGGACAACGUGUGGAAACGCACGCUAAUACCGCAUACGCCCUACGGGGAAAGCGGGGAUCUUCGGACCUCGCGCUAUUAGAUGAGCCUACGUUAGAUUAGCUAGUUGGUGGGGUAAAGGCCUACCAAGGCGACGAUCUAUAGCUGGUCUGAGAGGAUGAUCAGCCACACUGGGACUGAGACACGGCCCAGACUCCUACGGGAGGCAGCAGUGGGGAAUAUUGGACAAUGGGCGAAAGCCUGAUCCAGCAAUACCGCGUGUGUGAAGAAGGCCUGAGGGUUGUAAAGCACUUUCAAUUGUGAAGAAUAUUUAAGGUUAAU
rnacentral:rRNA from 1 species